UUGACAUGGAACGGUUCCGCAAAGCGAUCAAAAAAAUCCUGGGAGAACUUUCUGAUGAAGAUGUGGACGUCAUUUUCAUGAAGGUGGACGCCAACUGUGAUGGCUCCGUGGACUGGGAGGAGUACCUGAAUUACAUGCUCCGGGAAUAUCGUGGGAAGGACGACAUGCUGAAGAGCAAGUGGCUUCCAGAGUUCCAGACAAACAUGAAAAGCAUCUCGGUGUCGCACUCGGAGGACAUCGUCCGGAUCCAGUUUUUCCCGAGCCAGGCUCGGGGCGUGAUGGACCACAGGG